AGCAUGUGGUUUAAUUCGAUGAUACGCGAAGAACCUUACCGGGUUUGACAUGCAGGUGAUCGCCGUUGAAAGACGGUUUCCUCUUCGGAGGCACCUGCACAGGUGCUGCAUGGCUGUCGUCAGCUCGUGUCGUGAGAUGUUGGGUUAAGUCCCGCAACGAGCGCAACCCUCGUCCUUAGUUGCUAACAGUUCGGCUGAGCACGUCUAGGGAGACUGCCUUCGCAAGGAGGAGGAAGGUGAGGACGACGUCAAGGUCAUCAUGGCCCUUACGGCCAGGGCUACACACGUGCUACAAUGGGGCGUACAGAGAGCUGCGAUACCGCGAGGUGGAGCCAAUCUCUUAAAGCGUCUCUCAGUUCGGAUUGUUCUCUGCAACUCGAGAACAUGAAGCUGGAAUCACUAGUAAUCGCAGAUCAGCUAUGCUGCGGUGAAUACGUUCCCGGGUCUU
rnacentral:rRNA from 1 species